rnacentral:rRNA from 1 species
UGGGGAAUUUUGCACAAUGGGGGAAACCCUGAUGCAGCGACGCCGCGUGAUUUAGAAGGCCUUCGGGUUGUAAAAAUCUUUUCUAUGGGAAGAAAAUGACAGUACCAUAGGAAUAAGGACCGGCUAAUUACGUGCCAGCAGCCGCGGUAAUACGUAAGGUCCGAGCGUUGUCCGGAAUCAUUGGGCGUAAAGGGUACGUAGGCGGGUAAGCAAGUUAGAAGUGAAAUCCUAUAGCUCAACUAUAGUAAGCUUUUAAAACUGCUCAUCUGGAGGUAUGGAAGGGAAAGUGGAAUUCCUAGUGUAGCGGUGAAAUGCGCAGAUAUUAGGAGGAAUACCGGUGGCGAAGGCGACUUUCUGGCCAUAACCUGACGCUGAGGUACGAAAGCGUGGGUAGCAAACAGG